rnacentral:RNase_P_RNA from 1 species
UGGCAUGGGCAGGCGGCCGCCGGCCGGGCGCUCGGGGCGACCCGGGCGACCCCGCGCCGGAGGAAAGUCCGAGCACGGCAGGGCGCGACGGUGGGGGAAACCCCACGCGGCCUCUCGAUCGGGGUCGCGGGUUAGGAGAAGAAAACAACCGCCGAUGGCGCCCCCGGGCGCACAGGCAAGGGUGAGAAGGUGCGGUAAGAGCGCACCAGGCGGCGGGUGACCGUCGCGCUGUCAGACCCCCGUCGCGUGCAAGGUCAAGCAGCCCCCUCCCGCGUCCGGCGCGGGACGGCCGGCCCGGCCGAUCCGGGGGCGGGUGGACCGCUGGCCCGCGGUCGCAAGGCCGCGGCAAGAGAAAUGGCCGCCCACCGGCGCGAGGGCGCCGGGGACAGAACUCGGCUUACCGCCCAUGCCCGAUC